rnacentral:rRNA from 1 species
GUGGGGAAUAUUGGACAAUGGGCGAAAGCCUGAUCCAGCCAUGCCGCGUGUGUGAAGAAGGUCUUCGGAUUGUAAAGCACUUUAAGUUGGGAGGAAGGGUAGUAACCUAAUACGUUGCUACUUUGACGUUACCGACAGAAUAAGCACCGGCUAACUUCGUGCCAGCAGCCGCGGUAAUACGAAGGGUGCAAGCGUUAAUCGGAAUUACUGGGCGUAAAGCGCGCGUAGGUGGUUCAGUAAGUUGGAAGUGAAAUCCCCGGGCUCAACCUGGGAACUGCUUUCAAAACUGCUGAGCUAGAGUACGGUAGAGGGUGGUGGAAUUUCCUGUGUAGCGGUGAAAUGCGUAGAUAUAGGAAGGAACACCAGUGGCGAAGGCGACCACCUGGACUGAUACUGACACUGAGAUGCGAAAGCGUGGGGAGCAAACAGGAUUAGAAACCCUGGUAGUCC